GAUGAACGCUGGCGGCGUGCUUAACACAUGCAAGUCGAACGGUGAACACGGAGCUUGCUCUGUGGGAUCAGUGGCGAACGGGUGAGUAACACGUGAGCAACCUGCCCCUGACUCUGGGAUAAGCGCUGGAAACGGCGUCUAAUACUGGAUAUGUGACGUGACCGCAUGGUCUGCGUUUGGAAAGAUUUUUCGGUUGGGGAUGGGCUCGCGGCCUAUCAGCUUGUUGGUGAGGUAAUGGCUCACCAAGGCGUCGACGGGUAGCCGGCCUGAGAGGGUGACCGGCCACACUGGGACUGAGACACGGCCCAGACUCCUACGGGAGGCAGCAGUGGGGAAUAUUGCACAAUGGGCGGAAGCCUGAUGCAGCAACGCCGCGUGAGGGAUGACGGCCUUCGGGUUGUAAACCUCUUUUAGCAGGGAAGAAGCGAAA
rnacentral:rRNA from 1 species